GGGGCCUAAGGCCAAUGUUUCGUUAGGCUUUGCCCAGGACCGGCCCUGCUGACAGGCCGACACGUGUCCAGUUUGGAUGAUACUCACCGUUUCACUUAAUCACAAUUAUUAAUGGGCUUUUCUCUUUUUGUUAAUAAAUAUUUCAGAUCAGUGUUUUGGGCUUAACAUAAUUGGGAUUCUGGGCUCUAGGGUAACACAUGAGGGAGUCCCACAUGAGACGGCUUCUUCUCCAAAAAUAAUGUCGACGAACGAAAGACAGAUCUGCUGCGUUUUAACAACUCCGGUUCAAACCUACGGCCAAUGAAGAUUUGCUGCACCGGCCACGCUGAAUUCCGAUCAAGGUCAGUUGGAA
rnacentral:lncRNA from 1 species